rnacentral:rRNA from 1 species
AGAUUGAACGCUGGCGGCAUGCCUUACACAUGCAAGUCGAACGGCAGCACGGGAGCAAUCCUGGUGGCGAGUGGCGAACGGGUGAGUAAUACAUCGGAACGUGCCCAAUCGUGGGGGAUAACGCAGCGAAAGCUGUGCUAAUACCGCAUAAGAUCUACGGAUGAAAGCAGGGGAUCGCAAGACCUUGCGCGGAUGGAGCGGCCGAUGGCAGAUUAGGUAGUUGGUGAGGUAAAGGCUCACCAAGCCUUCGGAUCGUGUAGCUGGUCU